rnacentral:rRNA from 1 species
UGCGUAGGCGGGUUUCUAAGUCAGAGGUGAAAGCCUGGAGCUCAACUCCAGAACUGCCUUUGAUACUGGAAGUCUUGAGUAUGGUAGAGGUGAGUGGAACUGCGAGUGUAGAGGUGAAAUUCGUAGAUAUUCGCAAGAACACCAGUGGCGAAGGCGGCUCACUGGGCCAUUACUGACGCUGAGGCACGAAAGCGUGGGGAGCAAACA